UACGUAGGGGGCUAGCGUUGUCCGGAAUCAUUGGGCGUAAAGAGCGUGUAGGCGGCCCGGUAAGUCCGCUGUGAAAGUCGGGGGCUCAACCCUCGAAAGCCGGUGGAUACCGUCGGGCUAGAGUGCGGAAGAGGCGAGUGGAAUUCCUGGUGUAGCGGUGAAAUGCGCAGAUAUCAGGAGGAACACCGAUUGCGAAGGCAGCUCGCUGGGACGUAACUGACGCUGAGGAGCGAAAGCGUGGGGAGCGAACAGG
rnacentral:rRNA from 1 species